rnacentral:rRNA from 1 species
AUGGGGGGCUGCUUCUCCGGCGACGUGCGCGGCGGCACGGAGGCGGUCGGCGGGGGCGCGAUGGGGGCGGCGGCGGGGCAGGGCCAGGGCCAGGGCGGGCCGAACGAGGCGCUCGACCACUUCCUCCAGGGCCACGGGCUGCGCGGCCUCUACACCCCCCUCGAGCUAUCUUUUUCAGCUUCCAAGUUGAGAGAUAUGGAUGCUCUUUCUAAGAGUGAUCCUAUGUUCGUGGUUUACACAAAAAUGGAUGGAAGGCUAGAAGAGAUUGGCCGCACUGAAGUGAUAUUGAAUUCACUGGAACCAUUGUGGAUCACAAAAGCCAUGAUAAAUUACCAAUUUGAGAUUGUGCAACCCCUCGUAUUCAGGAUAUAUGACAUUGACACAAAGUACCAUAACACACCAGUGAAGAUGUUAAACUUGGCUCAGCAAGAUUUUCUUGGGGAAGCAUUCUGCAAUUUAUCCGAGAUAGUCACAAAGUUCAACCAUAGCCUGACUUUGAACCUCCGAAAUGGUUCUGGACAUGCCCUUCAGGGCACAAUGACAGUACACGCUGAAGAAACUGCUUCAUCUAGGAUGGCAGUUGAGAUGACAUUCCACUGCCUGAACCUUGAUAACAAGGACACGUUCUCCAAAAGUGAUCCCUUCUUGAGAGUAUCAAGACUGUCAGAAAGUGCUGUUGCCAUUCCUAUAUGUAAAACAGAAGUGAUCAGUAACAACUUAAACCCCGUUUGGAGGCCUAUAACACUGACAUCACAACAAUACAGUAGCAGGGAUGACCCACUACUAGUUGAGUGUUUUGAUUUUGAUGCCAGUGGCGACCAUGAACUUAUGGGGGCUCUCCAGACAACUAUCGCUCAGCUUGAAAAUCUAUAUAAGUCAAAGGCUGGAGCAAAUUUUUACAGCCGUAAGGGACAAAAGAAGUUGAAAGGACAGUUGUUCUUGGAUACGUUCCAGGAAAAAGUUCAACAUACUUUCUUGGACUAUAUUUCCAGCGGGUUUGAGCUCAAUUUUAUGGUGGCUGUAGAUUUUACUGCAUCAAAUGGCGACCCUCGUAUGCCACAAUCUUUGCACUACAUUGACCCCUCUGGCAGACUAAACUCAUACCAGCAGGCAAUUCUAGGGGUCAGCGAAGUUCUGCAGUUUUAUGACAAGGAUAGACGAUUCCCUGCAUGGGGUUUUGGUGCAAGGAUACCACAAGGAUCUGUAUCCCACUGUUUCAACUUGAAUGCAAGCACCAACGAUUGUGAGGUUGUUGGAUUUGAAGGCAUCAUGUCAGCAUACUCUUCUACUCUGUACAGUGUUUCUCUGUCAGGGCCAACCUUGUUUGGGCCCGUGAUCAACAAAGCUGCAGAAAUUGCCAGCCAUUCUGUGCAAUAUGGGAACAACAGAUAUUUUGUCCUGCUCAUUAUCACGGAUGGAGUUAUCACCGACGAGCAAGAAACAAAAGAUUCUAUUGUAAGGGCAUCAGAUUUGCCGUUGUCGAUUCUCAUCGUGGGAGUCGGGAAUGCUGAUUUCACUCAAAUGAGGACUCUGGAUGCGGACUUGGGUAAGCGGCUUCAAAGCUCGACAGGCAGGGUGGCGACGCGUGACAUUGUCCAGUUUGUCCCCAUGAGGGAAGUCCAAGCAGGUGGGCAGGUCACCGUUGUCCAGAGCCUGCUGGAGGAGCUGCCUGGGCAGUUCCUGGAAUACAUGCGCACCCGGGGCAUCAAGCCGCGACCGCCCCAGCACGCCUUGGCGCCGCCAGCGUACCCCCCUCCUCCUCCCCAGCUGUGA